GAUGAACGCUAGCUACAGGCUUAACACAUGCAAGUCGAGGGGCAUCAGGAACAUAGCUUGCUAUGUUUGCUGGCGACCGGCGCACGGGUGCGUAACACGUAUCCAAUCUGCCCGUUACUCGGGGAUAGCCUUUCGAAAGAAAGAUUAAUACCCGAUGGUAUUAUGAUGAGGCAUCUCAUUAUAAUUAAAGAUUUAUCGGUAACGGAUGAGGAUGCGUAUGAUUAGUUAGUUGGCGGGGUAACGGCCCACCAAGACUACGAUCAUUAGGGGUUCUGAGAGGAAGGUCCCCGACGCUGGAACUGAGACACGGUCCAGACUCUUACGGGAGGCAGCAGUGAGGAAUACUGGUCAAUGGACGGGAGUCUGAACCGUCCAAGUAGCGUGAGGGAUGACUGCCCUAUGGGUUGUAAACUUCUUUUGUUUGGGAAUAAAGUUAGGUACGUGUACCUAUUUGUAUGUACCAUUCGAAUAAGCAUCGGCUAAUUCCGUGCCAGCCGCCGCAGUAACAC
rnacentral:rRNA from 1 species